rnacentral:lncRNA from 1 species
ACAAAUAUGACACUCUGCUUGUCUCAGCUAAUAUAUGUAAUUAAUAUCUUCUUCUAAAUAUGGAUAUGGAGUGGAUAUGUAUUCACAAAAGUUAAUAUAGAUAUGAGUUGUUGUAUUAUGUUAUGUUAUAAUAUAUAUAUAUAAGGGUUAAAUAUGCUUUUAGUCCCUGAAGUUUCACUGAUAUUUGGUUUUAGUCCCUGCAUGAAACAUUGAUGGCAUUUGAUCCUCUUAAUAUUAAAACAUGUAAAAUUAGUCCCCAAAAUUGGACGACGUCAAAUCUCACUAACAGACUUGCCACGUCUUCUGUGACUUUUAAUGUUCUCUGUCUGCCACGUCAAAAUCCUGUAUCUAUCUGUUCAUCUCCCAUUCUUCUCUCCUCAAUUUUCUCAUCCAAAUCCACCUCGCUGUCGCUUUCAGGUUCGGAAUCGGCAUUGCCUUCGAAAACGUCGCCAUGUUCCCGCUGAGUCUGUCGUUUGCAAUUACGGAGGAGGUGGUCGAUGGGCGGGGUCGCUUCGGAGAGCUUGAUUUCAGGAGGCGAGAGAGGGGAAAAAGAGGAAUAGUCGUGCUUGAGCGGAAGACGAGUGGCUUCGCCGCCGGGGACCACUGGUUUCUGAAAUUUAGGGUUUUGAAUUUUGCUGCGAUUGGCAUUGCGACGAUCGAAUGAUUGGGGAGUGAGGCACGCAGAGACAGAAGAAGUUGUUG